rnacentral:rRNA from 1 species
GUCUACAGCCAUGCCACCCUGAACACGCCCGAUCCCGUCUGAUCUCGGAAGCUAAGCAGGGCCGGGCCUGGUUAGUACUUGGAUGGAAGACCACCUAGGAAGACCAGGUGCUGUAGGCA